rnacentral:rRNA from 1 species
UACAGAGGGGGCGAGCGUUGUUCGGAAUUACUGGGCGUAAAGGGCGCGUAGGCGGCCGUCUAAGUCGGACGUGAAAUCCCCAGGCUCAACCUGGGAACUGCGUCCGAUACUGAAUGGCUUGAGUCCGGGAGAGGGAAGUGGAAUUCCAGGUGUAGCGGUGAAAUGCGUAGAUAUCUGGAGGAACACCGGUGGCGAAGGCGGCUUCCUGGACCGGAACUGACGCUGAGGCGCGAAAGCCAGGGGAGCAAACGGG